rnacentral:rRNA from 1 species
GAGUUUGAUCCUGGCUCAGAACGAACGCUGGCGGCAGGCCUAACACAUGCAAGUCGAGCGCUACCUUCGGGUGGAGCGGCGGACGGGUUAGUAACGCGUGGGAACAUACCCUUUUCUAAGGAAUAGCCACUGGAAACGGUGAGUAAUACCUUAUAAGCCCUUCGGGGGAAAGAUUUAUCGGUAAAGGAUUGGCCCGCGUUAGAUUAGAUAGUUGGUGGGGUAAUGGCCUACCAAGUCUACGAUCUAUAGCUGAUUUGAGAGGAUGAUCAGCCACAUUGGGACUGAGACACGGCCCAAACUCCUACGGGAGGCAGCAGUGGGGAAUCUUGCACAAUGGAGGAAACUCUGAUGCAGCGAUGCCGCGUGAGUGAAGAAGGCCCUUGGGUUGUAAAGCUCUUUCGUCGGGGAAGAAAAUGACUGUACCCGAAUAAGAAGGUCCGGCUAACUUCGUGCCAGCAGCCGCGGUAAUACGAAGGGACCUAGCGUAGUUCGGAAUUACUGGGCUUAAAGAGUUCGUAGGUGGUUGAAAAAGUUGGUGGUGAAAUCCCAGAGCUUAACUCUGGAACUGCCAUCAAAACUUUUCAGCUAGAGUAUGAUAGAGGAAAGCAGAAUUUCUAGUGUAGAGGUGAAAUUCGUAGAUAUUAGAAAGAAUACCAAUUGCGAAGGCAGCUUUCUGGAUCAUUACUGACACUGAGGAACGAAAGCAUGGGUAGCGAAGAGGAUUAGAUACCCUCGUAGUCCAUGCCGUAAACGAUGUGUGUUAGACGUUGGAAAUUUAUUUUCAGUGUCGCAGGGAAACCGAUAAACACACCGCCUGGGGAGUACGACCGCAAGGUUAAAACUCAAAUGAAUUGACGGGGACCCGCACAAGUAGUGGAGCAUGUGGUUUAAUUCGAAGAUACGCGCAGAACCUUACCAACACUUGACAUGUUCGUCGCGACUCUAAGAGAUUAGAGUUUUCGGUUCGGCCGGACGAAACACAGGUGCUGCAUGGCUGUCGUCAGCUCGUGUCGUGAGAUGUUGGGUUAAGUCCCGCAACGAGCGCAACCCUCACUUUUAGUUGCCAUCAUUAAGUUGGGCACUCUGAAAGAACUGCCAGUGAUAAGCUGGAGGAAGGUGGGGAUGACGUCAAGUCCUCAUGGCCCUUACGUGUUGGGCUACACACGUGCUACAAUGGCAUCUACAACAGGAAGCAAAACGGCAACGUUAAGCAAAUCCCGAAAAGAUGCCUCAGUUCGGAUUGCACUCUGCAACUCGAGUGCAUGAAGCUGGAAUUACUAGUAAUCGUGGAUCAGCGUGCCACGGUGAAUGCGUUCCCGGGUCUUGUACACACCGCCCGUCACACCAUGGGAGUUGGUUCUACCUUAAGGCAAGGUUUUAAACCCUUGACCACGGUAUAGUCAGCGACUGGGGUGAAGUCGUAACAAGGUAACC